GGCGGACGGGUGAGUAAUACUUAGGAAUCUGCCCAUUAGUGGGGGACAACUAGAAGAAAUUCUAGCUAAUACCGCAUACGCCCUACGGGGGAAAGCGGGGGAUCUUCGGACCUCGCGCUAAUGGAUGAGCCUAAGUCGGAUUAGCUUGUUGGUGAGGUAAAGGCUCACCAAGGCGACGAUCCGUAGCUGGUCUGAGAGGACGAUCAGCCACACUGGGACUGAGACACGGCCCAG
rnacentral:rRNA from 1 species